rnacentral:lncRNA from 1 species
AAACGCUCAAACUGCUUUUCCUUCUCCUUUCUUGAGUAUGUUUUUGGAUAAGGCAAAGGUUUAACAUACUCUUAUUCCUUCAAUUUGUCAACUUCUUCUCUCCUUUCAUCACCAUCACUAUUCUUUUCAACACUUUCUUUUUCUACCUUUCUUUUUUCGACUCUUCUUUCCUCCAAUACUCUCCCGCUUCUAGUAAUCAUUUCACACGCUUCCUUUUCCUCCCUUUUAUCAACAUAGAACACACUACUCUUCACAACUUUCUG